UACGAAGGGUGCUAGCGUUAUCCGGAUUAACUGGGCGUAAAGCGCGUGUAGGCGGUUCGUUAAGUCGGAGGUGAAAUCUCGAGGCUCAACUUCGGAAUUGCCUUUAAAACUGUAUAGCUGGAAAUGAGUUGAGGUCAGCAGAAUGGGGCGUGUAGAGGUGAAAUUCGUAGAUAUUCGCUGGAACACCAGUUGCGAAGGCGGCUGGCUGGACUUAUAGUGACGCUGAGACGCGAAAGCGUGGGGAGCAAACAGG
rnacentral:rRNA from 1 species